rnacentral:rRNA from 1 species
GACGAACGCUGGCGGCGUGCUUAACACAUGCAAGUCGAGCGGUAAGGCCCUUUCGGGGGUACACGAGCGGCGAACGGGUGAGUAACACGUGGGUGACCUGCCCUCAGCUCUGGGAUAAGCCUGGGAAACCGGGUCUAAUACCGGAUAUGACUCCAUGACGCAUGUUGUGGGGUGGAAAGCCUUGUGCGGCUGAGGAUGGGCCCGCGGCCUAUCAGCUUGUUGGUGGGGUGAUGGCCUACCAAGGCGACGACGGGUAGCCGGCCUGAGAGGGCGACCGGCCACACUGGUACUGAGACACGGCCCAGACUCCUACGGGAGGCAGCAGGUGGGGAAUCUUGCGCAA